AAAAAAACCUCUGGAGUAUGCUUUUUGCAGGGAACUGGCUACACCGGAAGCACCCCAGAACUUGGAAUUGCAUGCUUCAUCCUAUUAGAAUCUGCAGAGAAGUUGAAAUAAAUUACAAUCAAUGGUACAGUGCCUGAUCAAACCUCCGUCUUCAACAAGGAAGGAACAGACUCGGCUAGAUUUUUAACACUCACUAAUCAGAUACAUAAUUCAAAGAUGACAUCAUGCCCAAGAGAAACAGAAGAUCUUUCUCAGAUUCAAAUUUUCUCUGAUUCAAAUUGAUCAUCAUGGUAAUUA